rnacentral:lncRNA from 1 species
CAAAACGCCGCCUAAAUCCUUCUCCUUCUCCAUUUCCAAUCCUCUCAAACCCCUAACCCCCAAAUCUCCAUCCCUCCGCUUUCCACCUCGCAACAAUCAUCACCACCACCGUUUAUCCGUAAACGCCGCCGUAUCACCACCGCCUUCAGACACACCUUCGCCGGAUUAUAGAUUCGAGAUCCUCUCCGAGUCCCUACCCUUCAUCCAAAAAUUCCGAGGCAAAACCAUCGUCGUCAAAUACGGCGGCGCGGCCAUGACUUCGCCGGAGCUAAAAGCCUCCGUCGUCACCGACCUCGUCCUCCUCGCGUGCGUCGGUCUCCGCCCCAUCCUCGUCCACGGCGGAGGUCCCGACAUCAACCGCUACCUCAAACAGCUUAACAUCCCGGCCGAGUUCCGCGACGGACUCCGCGUCACCGACGCCACGACGAUGGAGAUCGUCUCGAUGGUUCUCGUCGGAAAAGUGAACAAGAAUCUCGUUUCUUUAAUAAACGCCGCCGGAGCCACCGCUGUUGGGCUGUCCGGACACGACGGUCGUCUUAUCACCGCGCGGCCUGUUCCUAACUCGGAUCAGUUAGGUUUUGUCGGAGAAGUCGCGAGGGUUGAUCCGAGCGUGUUGCGUCCCUUAGUAGAAUCCGGUUACAUUCCGGUGAUUGCCUCUGUGGCUGCGGAUGAAGCUGGUCAGGCUUAUAACAUCAAUGCGGAUACGGUGGCGGGGGAGCUCGCGGCGGCGCUUGGAGCUGAGAAGCUGAUUCUGUUGACUGAUGUGGCGGGGAUCUUGGAGGAUAGAGAGGAUGUGGGGAGCUUGGUGAAGGAGAUUGAUAUAAAGGGAGUGAAGAGGAUGAUUGAUGAUGGGAAAGUUGGUGGUGGGAUGAUUCCUAAGGUGAAGUGCUGUAUAAGGUCACUUGCUCAGGGAGUGAAGACGGCGAGUAUUAUCGAUGGGAGGAGGCAGCAUUCUUUGCUUCAUGAGAUCAUGUCUGAUGAAGGAGCUGGAACUAUGAUUACUGGAUGAAAUGUGAUGUUAUAGGUGAUCCAUGGUUUUGUAUUUGAGAAUGCCAAUGCCUGUGUGUAGGCAAGAUACAUUCAUGAUCGCUGCUUAUGAGUCUUAGAAAGACAAUUUUUUUGGCAGCUCUUGUGGUUUGCAUUUGCAACUUCGUUGUUUCUGAUUUCUAAUGAUUAUCAUUGGUCUUGAAAAGUUAUAAAUUUUUGAAGACAAUAAGCUGUUCUAAGGAUAGGUGUUUGAGUACCUGUUGCUUAGCUCUGUUCUGUUUCUAUAUAUGUCAACCUAUGUUCUAUCUGAUUCAAUCAAAUAAACACUUUUGGCAUAUCAGUUCAGUUAACAAAGACGGUUGAUCUUUUUUGCCAUUACAGAUCCAAGUUAACUGUAAAGUAUAAAUGAAAUCUUAUGUAUUUCCCUUGAUCAUAAACGUACACGAUACAAUUGUUAUAUACAUCACGUUUGAGUAUCUGUUCCACUAUCGUAGGGAUAUUCUCUAACUAUCCAAGAAUAUAGGAGAUUUAGUUGACAUAUUCUUAUACUCCCCCUCAGUCUAAUCGUUGGGAGCUCGAACGGAUAGACUGUGUUUGAAGUCAUUGAAGAGUGAGCUUGGUAAGCCUUUUGUGAAUAUAUCUGCGAAUUGUGAAGACGAAGGAACGUGAAGCACCCGCACUUGGCCCAUCGCAACUUUCUCACGGACAAAGUGUAUAUCUAUUUCGACAUGUUUCGUUCGUUGGUGCUUCACAGGAUUGGUGGAUAGGUAGACAGCACUAAUGUUGUCACAAUAAACUAGUGUCGCAGCUUUUAUUGGACACUUGAGCUCCAGGAGGAGGUUUUGUACCCAACACGUUUCUGCAACUGCAUUCGCCACUCCCUUGUACUCUGCUUCAGCGCUGGACCGAGAUACUGUGGGUUGACGUUUUGAUGACCAGGAGACCAGGUUGUCGCCGAGGAAGAUGCAGUAACCUGAUGUCGAACGGCGUGUGUUUGGACACCCGGCCCAGUCGGCAUCAGUAUACGCUGUAAGCGUUGAGGAAGUGCUUCUGUAGAGUUGUAGGCCAUGCGUGAGGGUUCCUUGGAGAUAGCGCAAUACUCUUUUGAGUGCUUGGAAAUGAGGGACUCGCGGAUCAUGCAUGAAAAGACAAAGUUGCUGGACUGCAUACUGGAUGUCUGGGCGAGUCAGGGUUAGGUAUUGUAGAGCGCCUGCGAGGCUUCGGUAUAAGGUCGGGUCGUCGAUUGGGGCGCCUUCGUCACUUGAGAGCUUCGCUUUUAGAUCUACAGGGGUAGAGAUGGGGUUGCAGUUCUCCAUUGAUGCACGUGUUAGAAUCUCUUUUGCGUAUGCUGAUUGAGAGAGCAUCAUUCCUUUGGUGUUAUAGUCUACUUUGAUGCCGAGGAAAUAUUUGAGGAGGCCUUCUUCUGACAUCUCAAAUUCUUGUUUGAGGAGCGAAGUGAUCUUGUUUCUUAACGAUGGUGAUGAAGCCGUAAUGAGAAUGUCGUCGACGUAGAGUAAUAGGAAAGCUUGCUGAUCACCUUUGUCGUAGACGAAGAGAGAUGUAUCACUAUUGCUCUUCUGGAAGCCGAUACCUGAAACAAAAGAGGAGAAACGAGCAUUCCAUGCCCUCGGAGCCUGUUUGAGGCCAUAGAGUGCCUUCUCCAACUUACAGACGUGGUGAGGGUUUGUUUCAUUCUUCAUACCUGGCGGCUGAUGCAUGUAAACCGGUUCGUCGAGGGUGCCAUGGAGGAAGGCAUUCUUGACGUCAAGAUGAUGUACUUCCCAGUUGCGUUGAAGGGCCAGAUGAAGAACGGUACGUAUCGUUACGGGCUUGACCACAGGGCUGAAGGUUUCGUCAUAGUCAAGCCCUUGUUCCUGAGACUUCCCAUUAGCCACGAGGCGAGCUUUGUGGCGAACUGGAUUGCCAUCUGCAUCAAGUUUGUACUUAUACAACCACAUGGAACGAACUAUGUUAGUGUCAGGUGGUUUAGGCACCAAUUUAAACGUCUCAUUCUUAAUCAAUGCAUCGUACUCUACAGUCAUGGCAGGGUUCCAGUUCGGAUCUUUAAGAGCUUGAAGGUGGGUAUUUGGAAUUGGUGAAACUGUGGUGUGGAGGGAAAGAACAGAUUUUUGUUUGCGGGUUCCGUCCCUACUCCGUGUUGUCAUAGGAUGACGUGUUGGAGGAGGUAAGGAGUGGACCGGAGCCGGCUGAUUUACAGCAGGCGGUAUGGUCGGGCCAGAAAGAGAAUGGGCCGGCACCAUCGGUUUUUGAAGAAUCUGUUUGAAAACAGGGGAAGUUUCAGUGUUUUCAAGGAAGGUAUAAGUGUUUUUGGCUGGAGUAGAAUGUGUUUGGGCUGAGGGAAAAAUGGUCUCGUCGAAAAUGACGUGACGGGAGAUGAUGAUUUUUCUUGUUUUGAGGUCUAAGCAGCGAUAUCCUUUAUGGUUUGUAGGAUAGCCAAGAAAGACACAUGGUGUGGAGCGGGCAGCAAGUUUAUGAAGGUGAGAGUGGUUUAUGUUUGGGAAGCAGAGGCACCCGAAGGUGCGUAGGUGGGAGUAGGUAGGUUUUUUUUGGUAUAGGAGAGAGUAAGGUGUUUUGUUUUGAAUGGUAGAGGAAGGGAGAAUGUUGAGAAGAUGAACAGCGGUGUGUAAGGCCUCUAUCCAAUAUGAUGGAGCCAGACGCGCUUGAAAGAGGAGAGUUCGAAUGGUGUUGUUGAUUGUUCGUAUCAUUCUCUCAGAACGGCCAUUCUGUUGAGAGGUGUGAGGACACGAAAAUCUUGCAACGAUUCCAUUUGAAGAGAAGUAGUUGUGGAAUUGGGCAUUGUUGAACUCGCCUCCGUUGUCGCAUUGGAAUGAUUGAAUAGUUAUUUUGAAUUGUGUCUUGACAUACGCCGAGAAAUGAGUGAAUUUAGAAAAGACCUCGGAUUUGUAUCUGAGAGGAUAAACCCACAAGAAAUGUGAAAAAAAAAAAAAAAAAAAAAAAGAUGCAAAAGGGAGAAGUGUGGACUUUAGAUGGUACAUGGCCGAGAACAGGACCUGUAUACAAGCUGCUCGGACCUCAUGCGCAGGGCCAGCCCAUAGGGUAGGCCACAUAAGCCAUUGCUUAGGGCCCAUGGAAAAUAUUUCAAAAUUGUACAUACAAUUUUUCAUUAUUUGUAUUUUUUCCUAUAUUAGCUUAGGGCCCUGCAUGAGAUUUUCAAUUAAUGGACCGGGCCUGCUCAUGCGUAGAUAUGAACUGCACCAGAUUCAGUAAAACAAGUUACAAAUAGAUUUAACCGAAUCUGAAAUGAGUGUAAGCAGUCAAAUGUACCUUGAGGGAAUGAAAUGCGGAAGAGCUUUUCGAGCUAAAGUAUUCUUGGCAGAUUCAAGGAGCUUUUGAUGACAAGCAUGCACUAUAAGAACGUUUGCCAUGCAUAGACGAAAUGGAAUAUGAAGGGGCUUUUACCAAAUUGAGUGUUCAGUCACUACAAGAACAGCUGAUUCCUGAUGGAGGGGUUGUUCGUUUCAGCAUCUUUCAUCUCUAUCCAGAUGAUUCAUUUGUAUGAUCUAUCCAGAUGAUUCAUUUGUAUAAUCUAUCCAGAUUUGAAUGAUCUAUCCAGGUAAUCUAUUCAGAUUUUUGUGACCGUUUGUUUGUCCAUCCAGAUAGCUCAUCUUGAUGAAUCAUCUAAAUGGAUUUUAUGUUUGUUUCUUUAUUUUCAUUUCCAUCCAAAUGAGUUUAGUAAACAAAUUACCAAAAUACCCUCGUGUUGAUUUAAUCAUAUGUUAAAAUUUUACUACAAUAAUAACUUCUAAUAAAUAAAAAAAUAGAUAAACAUGUAUUAAAAAAAAACUUUAGAGUUUCAAACUAAAAAUAGUAUUAAUAACAAACCGAUUGUAAAUUCGGUUUUGGCGGAAAAUGAGAUUUUUCGGUUUUGGCGGGAAAAUACAAUUUUUGGUUUUGGCGAGAAAACGCGUUUUUGCGCUUUUGGCGGAAAAAUACGUUUUGGCCGGGAAAACGAAUUUUUGAGGUUUUGGCGGGAAAACACGAAUUUUCUGUUUUGGCGGGAAACACAUUUUUCAGUUUUGGCAGGAAAAUGAGAUUUUUCGGUUUUGGCGAGAAAAAUACAAUUUUCGGUUUUGGCGAGAAAACAUGUUUGUGGUUUUGGUGGGAAAACGGGUUUUGCGGUUUUGCGGCGGUUUUGCGGAAAACAAGAUUUUCGGUUAUGGCGGGAAAACACAUUUUUCGGUUUUGGCGGGAAAACAAAUUUUUUUGGUUUUGGCGGGAAAAAAAGUUUUUUUUGGUUUUGGCAAGAACAUAACAAUUUUCGGUUUUGGCGAGAACACAUGUUUUACGGUUUUGGCGGGAAAACGCGUUUUUGCGAUUUUGGCGUGAAAAAACAUUUUUGUAGUUAUGGCAUGAAAACGCAUUUUCGGGUUUUGCGGAAAAUGCAUUUUGGCGGAAAAUACAUUUUGGCGGGUUUCGCGGGAAAAUGCGUUUUGGCGGGAAAACACGUUUUUACGGGAAAAUGCGUUUUGGCGGGAAAACACGUUUUUACGGGAAAAUGCGUUUUGGCGGGAAAACACGUUUUUACGGGAAAAUGCGUUUUGGCGGGAAAACACGUUUUUACGGGAAAAUGCGUUUUGGCGGGAAAACAUGUUUUGCGGUUUUCACGAGAAAACGCGUUUUGCAGUUUUGGCAGGAAAUGCAUUUUGAUGAGAAAACGCAUUUUCGGUUUUGGCGGAAAAAAAUGUUUUUGUGUUUUGGCGGAAAAAUGUGUUUUGGAGUUUUGGCGUGAAAACGCGUUUUUGUGGUUUUGGCAUGAAAACACAUUUUUGCGAUUUUUUUGCGGGAAAACACGUUUUGUAAUUUUGGCGGGAAAACACGUUUUUGCAAUUUUGUCCGGAAAUGCGUUUUUAGGGUUUUGGCGUGAAAAUUUUGUUUUUAGGUUUUCGCGGGAAAAUGCGUUUUUGUGGUUUUGUCAGUUUUCAUGUCCGGAAAUGCGAUUUUUAGGUUUGUAAUUUGUGAAUUACAUCAAGGGAAUAAUAGACAUUAUACCAUAUUGAAUGAAUCAUCUCCAUUCAAAUGGUCCAAAUUGGUUCAGCUGAAUGGACUUUAAAACUAAGCCUAAAUUUCCGAAAGUCAUCCGGCUGGAUGAGUUGCACUUUUAGUUACUAAACGAACAAAACUUUCAUCUCCACACAGAUGACUCAUUCGGAUGGAGAAACAAACAGGCCGUACUCGCUGGAAAUCCGUCGAACUAUUUUCUACAAAUUUCUGACAAAAAUCCUCGGAUUUAUUUUGCUGAAAAUUCUUUAAUUUCGUCAGAAAUUCAUAGGAUUUUUUUGAUUGAUUCCUGAAUAUUUUUCAAAGAAUUUUCUAUGAUAUACAUGGGUCGUCAGAAUUUCCUCUCUGGAAUUCGUCAGAAAAUCUCCAAUAAUACUUAGAAAUAGAGUUUUACGUAAAAUAUUAAUAUAUUUAGUUUUGCAAUAACCCAAUAUCCUAACAAUGCUAUUUGGAAAUUGAAUUAUCCCAAAAACCAGAAUUAUGAAAAUAUUUUGUUAUACAAAAUAUUUCAAAUAUUCAAGUUACCAGAUGUUUUAUUUGGAAGCCGAAUUACCUGAUAUUUUAUCUAGAAGUUGAAUUACCCGAUAUUUUUAUUUGAAAAAUCUGAAUUAUCCAUAAAAUUGAUCUAAAUUUACAAAAGUACAUGAAAUACCAGAACUAAAUUGGACCCAAAAAAAUACUUGGAUACUAGUCAGUUUUCAACUUUAUUAUCAGAACCAAAACCAAAAUAACUGAACCAAAUUUCAUAAAUAACCAAACGAAAUUUAUAUCUUUAAAGCUAAAAAACCGAAAACGAAAUGCUCGUGGCUACUCCAGAUUCAUAUAAUUUCUAUAUUAUAUCAGAAUAAACAUGAAAUUAUAUGUUAAGGUAGUUUAUAUUUAAAUUUUGAAUACUUUUAGAUACUAAUUCGGAUAAUCAGAUCAAACUAUUUCAAAAGUUUUUCGAAAAAGUUCUUUGGAUAGCCGUUCAUAAUCUUCAGAUUCAUAUCAUGUUGAGACCAAAAUAACGCGUCUGACCUAGUUACAUGAUGUUCAAUUUUGAUAUUUUUACUGUUUGAAUUGGGUACCGAUUGAAGUCUUUGGUUCGCAUCUCAGAUUUAGGACAGAGUCUUUGAGUUUAAAUUCCAGGUCGACAGUAACUAUUGGUUCAUUACUGUUUGCCUGCGACAUACACCGCUGAAGAUUUUAACUAAUUUGUAACUAAACCUGAGAGACUCUCUCGCUUCAGUAUUAUCUCCGCCGCCUACUCCGGUAGGAUUCACUCAGAUAUGGCCACCGUCACAUCCAAAACGCCGCCUAAAUCCUUCUCCUUCUCCAUUUCCAAUCCUCUCAAACCCCUAACCCCCAAAUCUCCAUCCCUCCGCUUUCCACCUCGCAACAAUCAUCACCACCACCGUUUAUCCGUAAACGCCGCCGUAUCACCACCGCCUUCAGACACACCUUCGCCGGAUUAUAGAUUCGAGAUCCUCUCCGAGUCCCUACCCUUCAUCCAAAAAUUCCGAGGCAAAACCAUCGUCGUCAAAUACGGCGGCGCGGCCAUGACUUCGCCGGAGCUAAAAGCC